rnacentral:tRNA from 1 species
GGGGCAUUAGCUCAGUUGGCUAGAGCGCUUGGUUCGCAAUCAAGAGGUCCGGGGUUCGAGUCCCCGAUGCUCCACCA